rnacentral:rRNA from 1 species
GAUGAACGCUGGCGGCGUGCCUAAUACAUGCAAGUAGAACGCUGAAGCUUGGUGCUUGCACCGAGCGGAUGAGUUGCGAACGGGUGAGUAACGCGUAGGUAACCUGCCUCUUAGCGGGGGAUAACUAUUGGAAACGAUAGCUAAUACCGCAUAAAAGUCGAUAUCGCAUGAUAUUGUUUUGAAAGGUGCAAUUGCAUCACUAAGAGAUGGACCUGCGUUGUAUUAGCUAGUUGGUGAGGUAACGGCCCACCAAGGCAAAGAUACAUAACCGACCUGAGAGGGUGAUCGGCCACACUGGGACUGAGACACGGCCCAGACUCCUACGGGAGGCAGCAGUAGGGAAUCUUCGGCAAUGGGGGCAACCCUGACCGGGCAACGCCGCGUGAGUGAAGAAGGUUUUCGGAUCGUAAAGCUCUGUUGUAAGAGAAGAACGAGUGUGAGAGUUGAAAGUUCACACUGUGACGGUAACUUACCAGAAAGGGACGGCUAACUACGUG